GCUCUGGCGUUGGCAACACUUGUGGGGGGUCGUGUGAGGUCGUUCAAGUCGUGGGAAUUGAAAGUCGUUUCCAUAAGUGCACAGUCGGUGAUUAUCGCAUCUGCUCCCACUUCCUCCUCCGUGAUGAUGACGACGCCGGUAGCGAAGCGGCUGACGCAGCUGCGGGUUGCCAUGGUAACGGUGACGCUUAUCUUGCUGGUCGUCGCCGCGAUGCAGUUAUACAUCCUCGCCCACGUGACACAACAAAGGCCCCGGAAUGAGCGUAACUGCUUCACACUUGAGGCCUCGAACAUAGACAAUCUCGCUG